GGGGGUUCGCGGGUCUAAAUCAUUUAUAUAGGAUUUCUCUAUAUUUUUCUAUAAAUGAACAUUGUCUUAUAGUUAAUAGAAAAAUAAAAUAAAAAAGUGAGAUCACCGUUCAUUUGCGCUCACAAUCUGCCUUCGAAAGAAGCAUACAUUUUUGUAAAGGUGUUUUUUUUCUGUUGAAGUAAUAAGAGAAAUAAAGGUAAU
rnacentral:lncRNA from 1 species